AGAUGUGAGGGCAAUCUGGCUGCGACAUCUGUCACCCCAUUGAUCGCCAGGAUUGAUUCGACUGAUCUGGCUGGCUAGGCGGGUGUCCCCUUCCUCCCUCACCGUGGUUCCAUGUGCGUCCCUCCCGAAGCUGCACGCUCAGUCAAAGAGGACAACCCUCCCCAAUAGAGGAGGACCGGUCUUCAGUCAAGGGUAUAUGAGUUGCUGUGCUCCCCUGCUAGAACCUCCAAACAAGCUCUCAAGGAAGUAGGAAGAGAGGGCACCUUUGUUUAUCUUUGUUCUAGAGCAUAAGUUCUCAACAUGUGGGUUACAACCCCUU
rnacentral:snRNA from 1 species